AGUGAACGCUGGCGGUAUGCCUAACACAUGCAAGUCGAACGGCCGCAUAGUAAGAUCUUUCUUUUACCGGUGGCGACUGGCGGAUGGGUGACACAUACAUCACCAUCUACUUUUUCUUGGGUUACUUCGUAGGGACACUUCCGCUACCACCUCAUAUGACCUACCGGUUAAAUCAGUAGUUCUUCGCACUUUUCGCGACUCUAUGAGCCGAUUUCGCAUUAGCUAGUUGGCUAGGUAAAGGCCCACCAAGGCGACGAUGCGUAGCUGAUCUGAGAGGAUGAUCAGCCACACUGGAACUGAGACACGGUCCAGACUCCUACGGGAGGCAGCAGUAGGGAAUAUUGGACAAUGGGCGAAAGCCUGAUCCAGCAAUGCCGCGUGAGUGAAGAAGGUCUUCGGAUUGUAAAACCCUUUUGUUAGGGAAGAAAAGAAGUAGGAGAAUGCACGGAUGUUCUGACGGUACCUAAAGAAUAAGCACCGGCUAACUUCGUG
rnacentral:rRNA from 1 species